UAGAACAGUGAUACUUUAUUUUUCUUUGUUUUUUGUUUGUUUUUGUUUCUUUUGAGCCGGAGUCUCACUGUCGAUCAGGCUGGAGUCCACUGGUGCGAACUCGACUCACUGCAACCUCCACCUCCCGGGGUCAAGCGAUUCUCCUGCCUCAGCCUUCGGAGCAGCUGGGAUUACAGGCGUGCACCACCACGCCCGGCGAAUUUUUGUAUUUUUAGUAGAGACGGGGUUUCACCAUGUUGGCCAGGCUGGCCUCAAGUGAUCCGCCCAACUCGGCCUGGCAAAGUGCUGGGGUAACAGGUGUGAGCCACCACGCCCGGCCGAUACUUCAUUUUUCUGGAGGUCAUUUACUUAGCAAGGCCAACUGUUUGGAUCCUGGCUAAAAAUGUGAAAGAAGACAGAAAGAGUCACGAGCAGUCAACAAAAGUCACGGGUCCUAGCACGUAAAAGUUCAAGUACUUGAUUCAAAGCUGAAAUUCUCAGGUCCUCAGUCGUAGCCUGGUUACCCUUACAAACACCAGUGCUAAAAAGCACGGUUACUAAUCUUUCCAGGACACAAGAUUUGAAAGCAUCUGUUUCGAAGGGAGAUGACCUGCUAGAGGAAGCUUGCGGGCAACAGCAAAUUGGGAGUUCGACUAGCACUUUCAGACAGGGAUGCAACGAAGAACUCGCCAGCAGAGAUAAGAAGAGAUGGGCAAGAUGAAGAGAAUGAACUCUGAUUCUCGGAUAUCUGCCCGCAAGGUGGCUCCGAGAAAGCCAGCCGGAAACUGCAGCAUCGCGGAGGACUUCUCUAGUUCAGGUUAAAGAGACAGCAGCCGGAGGGAGCCGACCUCAAACCCAACUCCCGACAGCAACCUUGAGGCCACCCGAGAUGGCGCAUGCGCAGUGUGCGAGGUAGUGCUCUUCAUACCUGCCGACCUGCGGAACCUUCUUACUGAGCAGGGCGUACGUCACGCAAGCGCUGCGGGUGUGUGACGUCAUCUGAGAGCGCCACGCGCCGUCCCGAAAACCUGAGCACCGUCUGGCUAAGGCGUUGCUGUAGAGACGGUGCGCCGAGCCCUGCCCCCGAGGCGGGAUUGGAGGAGAACUGGUCAGCUGACAAGGGUGACGUUUCGAAAGCGCGCGGGAGGCCGUGCUGGGACGCAGAGCCCGAAAACCGCUUUGAGGGGCGUCUUGACCGAAGACUGUGAAACUGCAUUGCAAACAGUGGUCUCGGCUACUAAGGAGUAACAAACAGCUCUUUCAUCUCCUGAAAGAACUGCAUGCAAAGGAAGGAGUGAGGAGAGAAGGGACACCCAGAGCCUGAAGAACCUGUAACUUGAGUGCGCAGUCUCUAAGUAAUCCCAAGUGGACCAUGUGAACCUGCAGUCAGUGUCUGUGGCCACGAGGCAGAACACACACCAGGCCCCAAGAUUCUCACCAAGAUCGUGUCAUGAGACAGGACCUCGCUGCCCAGCCCCCGCCUCCCAAUAACAGGAUUACGAGGCUGAGUGCGGUUACUGCUGGCACAGCAAGCCACAGAUGUAGCCAGGACUGGGCGCCAAUCGACGGAUUCCCAAUAUUGUCUUCCAGUUGCUAGACUACGCUGCUUUCCAGUACAUUAUUUGGAAUAUAAAAACUAAAAUGUAAGUAAAGCAUUUUCAUACAAAUAAUUUCAACCGCAACAAGGCAAUUGGCUUCUGAUUAAGUUGGCAAGAAGAGGUAAUGAACUCAUUCCGAUUGACAUAUUUGGAGGUUCUCUUGCCAAAUCCAAUUGGCAGCUUCAUAAUUAUGGAAACGUCCAUGUUAUUUCCACUCAACCAGGGUUAGGGCUGCUGGUAUCUGAUUCAAUGUUUACUUCAUGAAUGAGGUCAGUUCCCAGCACAGCUGGGGUUUCAGCAAAGGAGUCAGCAAACAGCAUUCCCACUAGAAUCUGACCGGCGUUUGUCACAACUUCCAGGGCAACCUUCCCCCAGCUCCCCCAGGUCAGCUGCUCUCCCUAGCAUUAUCUGUGGCCCAGCUCCUCUCCCUGUAGAAGCAGACUCAGCCUCGACAUGAUGAGGUCACAUGCAAGCUUCCCCUGGCACAGUGGUUCAUUCUUCAACCUGCCCCCUUGGUAUUGCAACACCUCGCUCCUGGACAACCCCCACACACCAUUGAGCUUCACGCUGCCAGGAAAUGGGGUAGGGUUUUAAGAAUUAUUUAUCCCAGGAUGGUUCCACGUGUGUGGUAUGAGAGUGACUCAGAGUGCCAUGGAAGCCACCUCCAAAGGUAAUAACGUCCCACAGGUCAGAGUGUCCUUUCAGCCAGCUCCCCACACUGAUGAAAACAAAAACAAAAGUCACAAGUACUCAGAACACUCAUGAAGAAUACACAUUCAUGGAGUGACCAUCUGUGAGUUCACAGAGUUCCUGGAGAGACUCAGGGCAGAAGGGAAGGGCGGCACCCCACAACAAUGCCAGGGGUCUAGCUCCCGGUAGCUCGAAGUGGCAAAGGGCUGGAGUGUCACUGACCUGUUUGUCCAAGUCCUGAGCUAUUGCCAUAGGAUAGCGGCAUCAAGAAAGUGCACGGUCAGAGUCUGAAGCAGCUAUCUCUGCCCUGGCAGCAAUUUCCCUACCUGAGACAGUAAGCUAGGAAGAGGCUAAGCAUGAUUUGGUUUGGAUCUCAAAAUAAUCGUGGGCAUCAUAUGAUGUGAUGACUUUUGCCUAAGAAAAUCUGAAAAGUGCCAUGGAGAAGAAGAAUCUGGAGUGGGAGAUGGUUUAGGUGUUGGAGGCAAAGGCAGAUUCAAGAAGAAACUUUCUCUGCCCCAAUGUUGACAACUAGACUGACGGCCACGCCCCACGCUCUCCCAACAGGAGAACAAUGAGACCGAAGGCAGUUGAUGUGAACACAAGAAUCAACAACGUAGAGAAGACACAGUCCCAGGUGUAAAGAGGGGAGCUGUCUCUCCCUGUGGCCUCAACAGGAGAGGGUUGUCAGUCUAGGGUGAAGACUCACUGUCUCGUCCUAAGGGUCAGUCCACCUGCCAUAGGAGAUUUCGGAACACCUCUCCUCACUUGAGGGUCGACAUGCUGUAGGGUCCAUGGGGCCGGCUGGACAGUCACAGUCCCAGCUCACUUCUCCCACUGGCUUUCCUCGGGAGCUCACACCACCUGUCUCAGUCCCAAGAUGCUCCUUCUGGCUGCUCCUGUUCCUGACUCAAAGAUGGGUUGUUUGCCAUCAAUUUACCCUGUUUGAUCAACAUUGUCAUUGUUACAUCAUCUUCUAAUGUUUAUUUUGUUUGUUUGUUUUUGAGACGGAGUCUCACUCUGUCACCCAGGCUGGAGUGCAGUGGUGGGAUGACAGCUCACUGCAGCCUCCAGCUCCCAGGCUCAGGUGAUCCUCACACCUCAGCCUCCUAAGUUAGCUGUAACUACAGGUGCACACUACCACCCUCAGCUAAUUUUUUUUGUAUUUUUUGUAGAGACAGAGUUUUGCCAUGUUGCCCAGGAUGGUCUCGAACUCCUGGGCUCAAGCAGUCUGCCCUCCUUCGCCUCCCAAAGCGCUAGGCUCACAGGCGUGAGCCACCACACCCAGCCUCAUUUUAUAAUCUUUUAAAAUUAUUUUUCCCUUGAAUAUUCUUUGGGAAGUUUUUGAAGAUAUGGCUCUGACUUGGCCUGUUUUGUGCUGCUCUAACAGAAUGCCUGGGACUGGGUAAUUCAUAAUGAACAGAAAUUUAUUUCUCACAGUUCUGAAGGCUGAGAAGUCCAAGAUCAAGGCGCCAGCAUCUGGCGAAGGCCUUCUUACUGCAUCAUCCCACGGCAGAAGAUGGACGGGCAGGAGUGGGUGGGAGAGAAAGACAGACCAAAGGGGGCUGAACUCGUUCCUUUAGAAGGAACCCACUCCUGAAAUAAUGGCAUUAAUUCAUCAUCCAUUAAACACCUCUGAAAGGUCCCGCCUCCCAACAUCUCCAUAUUAGGGUUCAAGUUUCCAACACAUGGAUGUUGGAGGACACAUUCAAUCCAUAGCAGGCACUAAACCAAGUUCUUUCCUUCCCCCUCUCUGGCCUCAUGACCUUUGCUCUCUACCCACUUGGCACAGCUGCACUGGCUGCCCUGCUGAUGCCCAUCCACACAGAGACACACCUACCUCAGGAUCUUGGCACAUGCCCUUCCCUCCAGCAGGAACACUCUUGAGGCCAUCCCCACAGCUCCCUCCCUUCCUUUCAGUCUUGACUCACAUGCCCCCUCCCCAGGCACUUGCAUGCAUGUCCUUCCACAUGUGAUUCCCCCAGCUUCUAUCCCCUUCUGAAAUGGCACAUUACUUGUUCCUUAUCUGCCUCCCUCUCUGGAGUGCCAGCUCUGCCUGGCAGGGAUUUUUGACUCUCGCCUACUGCCACAGCCUGGUGCCAGCACAGUGCCAGGCAUGUCCACCCUGCAGCAUUUACUGAGUGCCCACUGCACACCAGGCACUAGUCUUGGAUGCUUUUGCAAAUGUUUCUCCAGUGACUGAAGAACUAAAAUUCUUUAAACUCAAAGGAACCGUUGUGUCUUCUGAUUCCUCUGAGAGCUUUGAGGAGCUGGGCAGAUGCAAUGUCACUUUGCUGUCUCCCUCCACCCCGCUGCCCCUCUGACUUCAUAUAUCAGCUUUCCCAACAGAUGUGGGAAAGUGGGGUCAUUCCCAGGAAAGGCAGAGCCUUCCAUGACUUAGGAACCCAGGUGUUUGCUCCACUGGGGCCAAUUGCUCCUGGCUUUUUCUGAGCUCCUAGGAGGAAAUGCAUCUGAAAUGCUGUCACCCUCCCCUGAUCAUUAACAGAGCUGUUGAACUGGCGGAGUUGUCAGCGAGGCAACCACAGGCAGGCAGGCAGCCAUCACACCGGCUUUGCAGAGAAGGCUGGAGAGCUGAUGCCCACGCCACGGGAAAGGGCCGGCGCCUGAGCCAAGAGCCUGACUGGAAAGUGUGUGUAAGGGACACCUGGAGGAAGCAGGGGCCUCCAGCACCUCCUCCACCGACUGGAACCCAUGGUGCUCACCCGCCCGCCCUGGGGGCUCACUACCCUCCCUGCCCAGAGAUACAGUGGGGCUGGCGGCUCACCAGGCUUUGUGAUCCCAACACUGACGAGUGUUCACCCAACAAAUUGGAACUUCUUUUCUUUCGUCUCAUUUGAAAAAGUCUUUUGUGAGCUAGCAAGUGACCCCAAAGUAACCUCUCUAUUCCUGCUGGAAGGGAAAAUAUUUCCAGAUCAGAGAGACUGCAGCGCCAAGCCUUGGCCUAUAUGAAUACUUGAUUAUGCCUCCUGAAUGCAGUCUCCUGAGCAUGUGCCAGUCAGUUUCAGAAAUGAGCCCUGGCCAGGUGCGGGGGCUCACGCCUGUAAUCCUAGCACUUUGGAAGGCCAAGACAGGAGGAUCACUUGAGCUCAGGAGUUCAAGACCAGCCUGGGCAACAUGGUGAGACUCUGUCUCUACAAAAAAAAAAAAUUUUUUUUUUCAAUUAGCCAGUAUGCUGGUGCACACCUGUAGUCCUAGCUACUUGGGACGCUGAGGUGGGAGAAUCACUUGAGGUGGGAGGAUUGCUUGAGUCUGGGAGGUCAAGGCUGCAGUGAGCCGUGAUCACACCACUGCACUCCAGCCUGGGCAACAGUGAGGCCCUGUCUCAAAAAAAAAAAUCAAGAGGUUUAUUAUUUGUCCCAUCAAGUAUUUUAAGGCCAAAGCUUCACAUUUUCAAGGGUGUGAUGUCAUGAAAUUCCCACGUAUGACCACAUUUUGAAAAACAGUUAUUGUGUUUUGGAAAGUGAGAGGGUUAGCCUAUAAUGUGGAAGAUAAACUCCUAAAGUGGACGUUUGAGAUGCACAGGCAGAAUGGGCCACCGAGCUAUAGCAUUUGCUAUGGUGAACUCAUGUGACUGCCCCAGAAUUAUCUGGAAGUUCAAUGUUCAUCUUCUGAAAAGAACUGGGACCUUGCUGUGCCAGCUGUUGUUGUUCUAAGUGCAGUGUAAGCAGCUUUCUAUUUAAAACCUUCACACCUGGCACUUGAGUAGUGCUUGUUUUCCAAAGGGCACCCUCUUUCCCUUGGAUUUUUUCCACCUUCUCCUUUUCUGUGUUAGUCCGGUUUAUCUCAGCCUGCUGGCAUGAAGAGAAGGACAGUUAUAAAAGCCAUUUAUAAAAGGAGCAGGGAGGUAGUGGUCUUUUGUCUUUGCUGCUGAAACGGCUUGGGUAGAUACAAGAUGGCCCGAGAAACAAUGCUGGGAGUGAGGAGCAUGGACCAGCCAGGGAGACAGGAGGAAAGCAGGUUUCCCCAUCUUCAUGGUACAAAGAAGGCAAAGGCAGAUGCUCAAGGCCAUGCACCUUCCUAGACCACUUGGGUGAGGCCCUUGGACACUCCCAUGGGUCCCAGCAUGCCUAAUCAAAAACUCCAGAUCUGAGCCAGGCGUGAUGUUGGUGCCUGUAGUCCCAGCUCCUCAGGAAGCUGAGGCAGGAGGAUCACUUGAGCCCAGGAGUUUGAGGCCAGCUGGACAACAUAGCAAGAUCCCAUCAAAUUCCAGAUCUGUCACCAUCAGUUGUCUCUUGGGGAGAGAGGGGCUCAAGGAAGGAGGAGAAUUUAGAAGUGAGGUAAAGAAAGGCUAGAAACAGGGAAAUGGGGGAAUGCACAGCAAAAGCAGUUUAAGGAAGAGACUGAGACUAACACAGCGAUGUCGGGAAACGAGCCCAUAGUUUUUUUUAUCCUCUACAUCCAAACACAUCUUCAUCACCUUAAUUAUAGACUGAGAAAUGACAAGGCUAAAAUAGUCAAGGGCUGGGAAUUUAAGAUUGUAAAAUGGGUCGGGUGAGGGGGCUCACGCCUGUAAUCCCAGCACUUUGGGAGGCUGAGGCAGGUGGAUCACCUGAGGUUGGGAGUUCGAGACCAGCCUGGCCAACAUGGUGAAACCCCAUCUCUACUAAAAAUACAAAAAUUAGCCAGGCAUGGUGGCAGGCGCCUGUAAUCCCAGCUACUCAGGAGGCUGAGGCAUGAGAAUCACUUGAACCCGGGAGACAGGUUGCAGUGAGUCGAGAUUGCGCCACUGCACUCCAGCCUGGAUGACACAUUGAGACUCUGUCUCAAAAAAAAAAAAAAAAUUGUAAAACAUCUCACUUCUGACCUUCAGAGGGUCCUCCCCUUCCUCUCCCUCCUUUUCCUCCCUCUUUUCUUCACCUCAUCCCCCCACCUCCUUCUUCUCCCCCUACUCCUCCUCCUUCCUUCACCCUGGGCACAGCCCGUCUUGGAAGAGCAGAAACCGCUCUGAAUGACACUGGCUGGGACAGAAGUGCCCUGGGGUCAGGCCUGAAGCAGUCGGGCCGAACAAGGCAGCAGUCGUGCACAGGAGCUUUUCAAGGAGGUUUUGCAGAUACAAGGAUGUUGGACAGAGAGGAACAGAGAAAUUCCAGAGAUUUUUCACGUGCAAGUGGAUAUUUCCUUUGAGAGUUUCUAGACUAAAUAAUACUCCUUGUGUCUAAGGGGACGGUGUAUACUGCUGACCUGGCAAUGUUCUCUGCCUGCAGGAUGAGCACAGGCAGGCCCCGCAGCUGCCCGGAGGGAGCUAUAAGCAGAGGAAGGUGAAGUGGCCUGAAAUGUCUGUACUGGAGACAGUCGGGGCUGUGUGCCUCUGCCUGACGCAACAUCAUUUCAGACGUGGAGGAAGGAUCUGUUGGCAGAUUUGGGACUCAAAUGGGCUAGACUUCUAAGAAAAAAUAUACCGAGGCCUCUCUAUUCCACCAAUUUUCAUUCUUUCAUACAUACAUAUUUAUUUAUUUAAACAGACUUUAUAUUUUAGGCAGUUUUAGUUCACAGCAAAUUGGAGCAGAAAAUGCAGAGGUCCCAUAGACCUCCUUACCCAACAUACCCACGGCCUCCUGCUCUGUCAACACCCUGCAGCCGAUUCAUCUGACAGUCGAUGAAACGAUUCACACAUCAUUAUCAUCCGAAGUCCAUCAUCUACAUUACAGACUCUUGGUGUCGUACAUUCUGUGGGAUUUGACAAAUGUACGACGACAUGUACCUGCCAUUGCUGUGUCAUACAGAGUAAUUUCAGCGCCUGAUAAUCCUCCGUGCUCCGCCUGCUAACCUCUCCCUCCCCCAACGCCUGGUCCCCAAGGCUUUGCUUUUUCCGGAGUGUCACAUAGUUGGAAUCGUGUGGAACACAGCCUUUUCAGAGUGGCUUCUUUCACUUAAUAAUACGCAUUUACGUUUCAUCCAUGUUUUUUCAUGGCUUGAUAGCUCAUUUCCACUGAAUAAUAGUCCAUGGCCUGGAUGUAGCCAUUUUCAUAUAUUUUUAAGAAGACAGACUGUUUCAUGGGGUGACAUAAUUUAUUAAUAACUAGUAUUAUAAUUAAACUUACAAUAAAAGAAAUACGUGGCUUAAAUAAAACAACCGUAUAUCAACCCUA